rnacentral:rRNA from 1 species
UGGGGAAUCUUCCGCAAUGGGCGAAAGCCUGACGGAGCAACGCCGCGUGAGUGAUGACGGCCUUCGGGUUGUAAAGCUCUGUGAUCGGGGACGAACGGUCAGCAGACGAAUACUCUGCUGAAGUGACGGUACCCGAAUAGCAAGCCACGGCUAACUACGUGCCAGCAGCCGCGGUAAUACGUAGGUGGCAAGCGUUGUCCGGAAUUAUUGGGCGUAAAGCGCGCGCAGGCGGCUUCUUAAGUCCAUCUUAAAAGUGCGGGGCUUAACCCCGUGAUGGGAUGGAAACUGAGAGGCUGGAGUAUCGGAGAGGAAAGUGGAAUUCCUAGUGUAGCGGUGAAAUGCGUAGAGAUUAGGAAGAACACCGGUGGCGAAGGCGACUUUCUGGACGACAACUGACGCUGAGGCGCGAAAGCGGGGGGAGAAAACA